GACUGAUGACACCACACAGACAUCAGCUAGUAACAGACUAUGCAGUAGAGGUCUGGUAGCUCUAGCCUUUAGCCUAGGAUGUAGCCUGCCUCUCUUCCCUUGCCUCUUCUUCAGACGUCCCCUGCAUAAGCUUUGUCACUCAUGUGAAUCCGGAGCUGCUGUCUCUUGCUGCUGCAGUUAACUUGGUCCAGUCAAUGGAAGAAGUCCAAGUCCAGCAAGCUGGGUUUUGGCACAGUGUGGGCUCUGCCGAUGUCCAGAUGUUGGUUGGACUGUGUG